AGUGAACGCUGGCGGCAGGCCUAACACAUGCAAGUCGAGCGGCAGCGGGUUCCCGCGAGGGGAUGCCGGCGAGCGGCGGACGGGUGAGGAACACAUCGGAAUCUGCCUGGUUGUGGGGGAUAACGUAGGGAACUUACGCUAAUACCGCAUGAGACCCUGAGUCGACGGACUGGGGGUGAAAGUGAGGGACCUUCGGGCCGUCACGCGACCAGAUGAGCCGAUGUCGGAUUAGCUAGUUGGCGGGGUAACGGCCCGCCAAGGCGACGAUCCGUAGCUGGUCUGAGAGGAUGAUCAGCCACACUGGCACUGCGACACGGGCCAGACUCCUACGGGAGGC
rnacentral:rRNA from 1 species